rnacentral:rRNA from 1 species
UUGCAACAUCGGGCCAGACCACUCCUCUUUGCCUUGGCCCUCCCCGUUCAUGUCUCGUUCUCUCCUCCACCUUCACCGCUCGCGCAGAUUCGGCAACCUGGGAUGCGACGGUCAGCCCGGCAGCGAGGCAAAGGAACGGCGGUGCCGGUGGGUAGGGAGGGAGCGAGGACGCGCGCAUCAUCAUCGCUCUCCAUGGCCGACGGCGACCCAGAGACUAGCAUGGAGGAUGAUGAAUAUACGGCUGAUGGGUCAUUCUCAACCCAUUUCUCACCCACUCGGUUGCGGCAGGUUGCAGAUAGUCAGUCCAAGAAGAAGAAGGAAGUUAUAAGCAAAUGCAGCUUUGGUUCCCUCUUGAAUAUCAACUCUUUCUCUGUGCCGGCUGAUCUGCUCGAUUGGGUAGUCAUAAAAAUUGACCCAGAAAUGGCGUUGUUUAGUCACAAAAAGAAGUCUAUAUUGUUUACAAAAGACAUGGUGCGAAAAAAAAAAUUAAUGUCCCAUCUGGGUCAAGGCCAGUGGAGUUGUUGAGGAGGAAUGAGCCACACGUGCUCCGUGAACCUCACCGAGUAGGGUCAAGGGCUCCAAUGAAGCAUUGUAUUCAAGUGCUCAAGGAUGUAGAGGAUGAUGAUGUUGUUAGUAUAAAUAGGACAUGGCUGCUAUUAUGUAUGGCUCUUGUGCUAUCUCCUGGGACUGGCAACAUGGUACCCCUAGAGUAUCUUGCGAGUUUGGUGGACAUGGACAAGAUUGAUGAGUUUGCAUGGGAUGGGCACUUCUUGGUUGUUGUGUUAAAGGAGGUGAAGAAGUACCAACGGAAGAGGGAGGCAGGGAAACGUGGCUUUUGGAUCGGCGGUUGUCUGCCAAUGUUUGCGAUAAUUUAUAUGGACUUUGUCUAUGUGACUCGGGUGUUGGUUUCGGAGCAUAGAAUUGACUACUCUCUCCCAAGGGCAUGUUUUGUAUGCAACAAAGACUUCGAUUUGGUAGAAGAAAUUGAUAAGAACAAGCUCAAACUUGAUAAGAUUGAAUUUGGGAAACGGAAUCUUCGUCGUUUGCCAGAGACGCCAUAUGUAUCUCUUGAGGGCUACAAUGAAGCUGAUCGCGAGAACAACACUGCGGAGGGAGCUAGUGGAGAUGCAAACAUUCCCGAGAUACCUCCAAGCAAACCAGUCAUGGAUGGGAGCGAGAUUGGUGGCGAUGUGUGUGGGUCUCUAGAUGAGUGGCUGCACCCACUGCCUUCAAGUCAAGAAUUGGUAGUAAGCAUGCACACUUUUUGCUUUCAAUAAAUAUCUAUGUUUCAAUUUUCCUACAUUUUUUGUCCCAUUUGCUUACAUUUUGUUGAUUUCAUAUGUUUCAACCGUUUUUAUUUCUAUUAUUCAGAUUCCAUAGCACAUGAUACCAAUAUAUCGCAGCGGCCUAUUCUUUGACGCUUGUUUGUGACAUUCAUUUUGAACUAAUUUUGUUUGCUAGACGAGGCUCCUGCCACCGAGACCUUCAGAAGCACCACCACUUUCACCUUCGGGCUUCCCUGCGUGGACACACUGGAAAACCCGCCUGAUAAGUGUCGGAGGACCCUUCUUUUGGCUGUUUUUAGAAGCACUUAUGCGCGUGCCAAAGCCCAUCUUGAAUGCAUAUUCAUUGUACAAUGUUUUGGCAUCGUCAACAGAGUCAAACUCCAUGCCAACAUAGGGCAUAAGUGGCUGAGAUGAAAUCUCAUUAUCCUCUUGAUCAUCAUCAUACAUUGCAGCAGUUGAGUUGUGCCCGACAUCUGAAUUUAUCUCUCCAUUUGCCGCAACAUGCGGUUGUGCAUAGCUCUCCUCACCUCCUGUCCUUUCACCAGCACCCUAUAAGUGCAACAAAAGUCAAUAGUACAUUAGGAAUGUUUUUAUUCUAUGCAACAGUAUAUAAAUGCUCAAUCGUAUCAGCUUUUUUACAUUAUCCAGAUUGGAACAUACUAGUACCAAUUUCAUAAUGUUUCUUGAAUUUUCCAACAAGAACAUUCUCUAUCUACUAUACCAUUGGAAACAUCAACUUAAUGAAACUGAACUUUCUGAAAUUGAGUGCAACACUUUGAACUUUUAUGAACUUUGCAGUAUUUUUUGAACUUUUUUUCAUGGAUAGUGUGCUAAAUAGUGCCUGAUCCAGUUUCUAAACUUGAAGUUUACAAUCACAACUACUGCUUGAAUACCAAUUUCGAAGCGCCAUUGCAGCAAGGAAUACAAACAUGUGCGCUAGGGUUCUUUAGGAACUUACCCAAUUUGCAGAGGAAUUGACAGUAGAAGGCGGAUUUUCUGGGAAGAAGACCGGUGGAUUUCAAUAGCUACUUGAAGCAGGUGCUAUGUAGUUCACCGGAGUUGGAUCUGUCCACCUGGAUGCAACGGAUCCAUGGGAGGUUGGAGCUGAGACGGAGGCGGGCAUAUCUCGAUAGAUAUGCUGUGCCAUCGGGUAGAUGCACGGGUGGAGGAGAACUUGCUACGAUGAUUCAGG